rnacentral:rRNA from 1 species
GACGAACGCUGGCGGCGUGCUUAACACAUGCAAGUCGAACGAUGAAGCCGGAGCUUGCUCUGGUGAAUUAGUGGCGAACGGGUGAGUAACACGUGAGUAAGCUGCCCUUGACUCUGGGAUAACUGCGGGAAACUGUAGCUAAUACCGGAUACGACCCUCGGAGGCAUCUCCUGGGGGUGGAAAGAAUUUCGGUCAAGGAUGGACUCGCGGCCUAUCAGCUAGUUGGUGAGGUAAAGGCUCACCAAGACGACGACGGGUAGCCGGCCUGAGAGGGUGACCGGCCACACUGGGACUGAGACACGGCCCAGACUCCUACGGGAGGCAGCGGUGGGGAAUAUUGCACAAUGGGCGCAAGCCUGAUGCAGCAACGCCGCGUGAGGGAUGACGGCCUUCGGGUUGUAAACCUCUUUUAGCAGGGAAGAAGCGAAAGUGACGGUACCUGCAGAAAAAGCACCGGCUAACUACGUGCCAGCCGCCGCCGUAA